GCACCUGUAGCUUAGUGGAUAGAGCGUCUGUCUCCUAAGAUGAAGGUCGUAGGUUCGACCCCUGCCUGGCGCA
rfam:Nicotiana sylvestris Nsyl_contig49245, whole genome shotgun sequence.